AUGUUUUUUGGUACAGUCAGUUGGCCUAUUUGUUUGUAUUUUAUAUAUGAUCCAACAAAGAAAUGGGAACGUUAUACCAUCCAUGGAGAUUGAUAUGUGACAGCCACAUAACUUUUUAUCUGCGUUUGUUGCCUUAGAAUAUGACAUCAAUGUAUUAACUGAUGAGAAUGUUGCAAAUUUCUGUUUGAUUUAUUGUUCAAAUGACACUACAUAAUUUCCAGGAGUUAAGACUAAUGUAUUAUUUAUAGUUAUUAGAAAUGCUAUGGUAUAGCGUCCAAUUAGGCAGAAAUUGCUGCUCUAUUAGCACUAUUAACAUGUGGUGAAAACCCAAUUUUUCUGUUUGGGUGUGCAAAUUCUCUAAGGCAGCUAUCUUUGGGAGUUAUGAGGGAAUGAGAAGGAGAGAAGGGGUAAAGAUGGAGAUGAAUGGAAGAGGAAAGGGAGUUAAUCCACUUUUUGUUUGGGAGUGU